CGCUGUAAUCAUGCCACGGAAGCUACGAUUAUGUUCAAAGAAGAACCUAAGAAGCGAACUAAGAGAACUAAGAGGAGCCCCUUACAGGAAAUUUGUUCUGAUGAGUCCUCUCAAGCAGAUUCGCUGACACUAGAUGAUUUGUACGAAAAAAUGCACACAUUUUUACCUUCUUUCUGGAUAGACACAACUCAGUUAAACGUUUAUACGAUAAAGUGGUGCAAAAUUGAUUCCUUACCCUCAUCAUCAAGUCAGUCUCCCUUAGUAUCGCAUUCACUUCUAGUAAACAGAGAUUUAUCAUGGAAAUUGAUGAUUCAUGAUCUUGAAACUUUACCGAAUCAUACAACUCUUAUCUCUAAGAUUCCAGCUAAUUUGAAUGUAAGCUCACUCAAAGAGCCGAUGAACGGUUUGUUGAAAUGGCACAUGUACAGGCAAAAAAAGGAAAAAAGAGAGGGGUAGUCAGAGCAUCUUUAAAAACUUAAAAACUGGUGCCUUUACGGUAAACGACGAAGCCAUAUUUUCUGGAACAAUACGCACUUCCAGCUGGCUGCGAAAUUAUAACAAAAAGCGGAAGAUGCAAAUCUCUAUUGAAAGAAUUUACGCAUGACCCAUAGUAGGUGGACGAAAAAGGGCAGCCCUCAGAAAUGUGCCAACGAUAGAGAGAGUAAAAAAGUAGGAGCUAAAAAGGCUAAGAGCAAAGGUUGAAAAGGCUAAGAGCAAAGGUUGAAAAGUUAACCGAAAUGAAUGGUGUGACUGUAGAUGAGCCACUUCACAAUGAGCUAAGCACCAUUGUAAGUGGUAAUGAUACCUCUAUUGAGAAGGACUGGGUACAUUUCGAAGGCUAUUUUGGGAUGAACAGAAAAAGGCUGCAAAAAUUAAAAACGCUAGACAGAUGAGAUGGCAUCCGAUGAUGAUUAGAUGGUGUUUGUUUGAACCUGAAACUCCUAUCAACAAAAGCUUAUCACUCACUGCGAACUUCAGGUUUUAUUAAAUUACCCUAACUACUUUAAGUAGCAAACCUGGUUUACAACCGGAAGUUGACCUCAUGCUUGUUGAGGAAGCUUCCCUAGACAGCUCUCCUAAGUGGAGCAAGUACGUAGUAUUAUUGUUUGACAAAAUGAAAGUAAUGGAGAGCCUAGUAUAUGAUAAGCACACAUCUCAGGUAAUCGGCCGGCUUCACUGAGUUGGGAAAUCUUAACGAUCAGUUUGAUGAGUUGGAGAAACAAGAUAACAAACCAUCAAUUGCCACACAUAUUCUUGGUAUUAUGGUCCGUGGAGUAGCCUUCGAUUUCCCUAUGGUCACUUCCCUACUCAUGAUAUUAUUAAAGGCACCAAACUCUAUUCUAUCGUAUGGGAAGCUAUUGAACGACUGGAAAGAUUAGGCUUCAAAGUGGUUGCUUUGACUUUUGAUGGUGCUAGGCCUAAUCGUAAAUUUUUUAACAUGCACUCUACAAAUAAAGAUCUACAAAUAAAGAAGUAUGUUACAAGACCGCUAAUCCAUAUACGGAAGAGAAAAGAAACAUUUAUUUUUUUUCCGAUGUACCACAUCUUAUGAAGACCACGAGGAACUGUUGGUCGCAUCCACAACAACACAAGACAGCUCUGGAUAAAUGGAAGUUGGACACACAUUAGGACCUUGUAUGAUGCUAAAGCUUGCUCUCAGUGAAAAAUUGCAGGGACGUUAUCUGUUAAAGAAAUUGUCACGAGAGCACGUCUAUCUAAAAUCUUAUUCUAGAAUGCAAGUGGACCUUGCCGUACAAGUACAACUGUUUCUAAGGGAAUGCAAUUUUAUGGGGGUGAUGAAACUACUGAAACGCAGAGAUUUAUCAAGAUGUUUGAUAAGUACGCAGCCCUGAUGAGUAUCGACGUAAGAGAACCAGAUUUAAAACCCUAUACUUGUUCAUCUGACGAGCGCUUAACUGUGAGUUUGUGUGUGCCGACUAUAAAAGAUUGGUAUGUGUAUUCUAGCGAUUUCUUGGGCUACCUUAAAGAGUGGGAAACAGGUCGAGAAGGAUUUACAAAUGCUCAAAAGACUACGAUGAUGCUGAGUAGAGAAACACUUUAGAGAAACACUUGAAGGAUUGCAUAUCACUGUACGGUCAUUCUGUGAGAUCACUCGUUAUCUACUUAGUAUGGCAGGGUCCCAUAUCUUUUAAGUGAGCACUUUACAGGAUCCUAUCGAGAAUUAUUUUGGACAGCAACGGUAGGCGGUGCCAAAAUCCUACAGUGCAAGUUUAUCUGCUCAAUCGCUACGAGUGCCUGGGUAAUUCUAGGCGCAAGAGAAGACUAAGAUGAGGUAGUGGACCUUUACCCCGAAAAAAGAACUAUAAGUAACUUUUAAUUGAAGAUGUUUUUUAAAUGAUAAUGUCAUAAUUAAUUUGUUUUAAAUGAUGAUGAUGAUGAUGUCAUAAUUAUACUGUUUACUACUUACGUAUUAUUAUAAGUAUAGUGUGCUUGUGCAUGAAAAAGUCAAACAGCUAGCUACGAUACUGCAAACUCUUCCGAAGACUCUUAACACUUUGUUUCUGUGCAAUCUUAUAUUGUUCCAACCAGGAUGAAACAAGACUAAAUCCUCUAAUUGAUACCCACAUCUCACUCAGAAGCUGAGCUGCAGCAUCAUUACUAGAUAUAUCAAUGGCUAACAUACUCCACCAGCUUGCGUGAUGCAUUUAAGUAUGUCAUUCUUGCUGAGUUGUUGGUGACUUCUGGCAGAUAAAUGCUGAGGAAUAAGUUCU